GCUAACUACGUGCCAGCAGCCGCGGUAAUACGUAGGGGCCGAGCGUUGUCCGGAGUUACUGGGCGUAAAGCGUGCGCAGGCGGCGCGUUCUGCCCGGCGUGAAAGCCCCCGGCUCAACCGGGGAACGUCGUCGGGGACGGGCGCGCUUGAGGGCGGCAGGGGCUGGUGGAAUUCCCGGUGUAGUGGUGAAAUGCGUAGAGAUCGGGAGGAACACCUGUGGCGAAGGCGGCCAGCUGGGCCGACCCUGACGCUGAGGCACGAAGGCGUGGGGAGCGAACGGGAUUAGAUACCCUGGUAGUC
rnacentral:rRNA from 1 species